CACACAGUAUAGAGAUAAAUGAAUAACAUUAAUCAAGAUGAUGAUAUAAGUGAUGAUGAUAGGUUCGAUGUGAGACAGUGUGAGAGGAACAAGCUGUCAAGCUAAAUGUGGAUCCAUAUCAAGCCUUACCUUAAAGUCUUCUAUUUAAAUACACAGAUUAACCGUGUCAUUUAGCACAGCUGCCAAAAAUGGCUGUAGUUUGUGCAUAGCCACCUACACCGCACGGGUUCAAGCAACCGCUGCAAGUGUUGGAUGUUGAUCAAUGUGCGAAACAGGGAGGGAAAGUAAAAACAGAUGGUGAAAGGCCACUGCCAUUCCUCUUCUCUGACUGCCAGUAUCAGUAUCCUCUCAGCGCUCUGCUAAAUUAAAACAACCACCAUCCCAUUGAUUCCAUCUCUGACAAGAGCCAUUCAUCAUGAAGAGAAGAGAAGAGAAGAGAAGAGAAGAGAAGAGAAGAGAAGAGAAGAGAAGAGAAGAGAAGAGAAGAGAAGAGAGCGAGCAAAGCAACGGCUGAUGUGGGGCUCCCGUGGGAAAGGAGGCAUUUGAGCUGAUUGCCUGGCUAAUGACUGACUGAUUCGCUCCAAUCACACGGCCCCGCAGCCACAUUCUUUGAUUGGACACAAUCAAGUCAAAUGGACCAGUGCAGUAUUCCAGAGCUCUGAAUCCAUCAUUAUAUUUCAGCAAGCUACCCAGGAGAAUAACCACCCACCUAUUAGGAGCGGGAGGCUCAACCGAUCUUAUGAUUCGAUUUCGAUUCUUGCGUGCAUGGUUUUAUUUUAAAACGAUUCUAGAUUCAAAAUGAUUCAAUUUUAAGUUAACCCUGAUGUAUUCUGUGGUACCAUGAUGGUAGUUGGCUGCAGGUGGAAUUAGGGGAUGGGGCAUUAGGGGGUGGAGCAUUCCGUCGUACUGUCGAAAUCAGAUGGUGGACCUGCACCUAGACAGAUACGACAACAACACAGCCCUGAAUCCCCUGCGAAGGCCUUGUCAAUAUGAGUACAGAUCCUCAACAAAAGGCACAAGAACCAGACAAGUCCUGCGCACAGACCUAUGACCAGCUUCAUCUCCAUACUGGAGUGAUGAAUCUGAUCUUCAAGCAAAAGGAACUGGAUGAAAUGCUACCGAUCGACAAUCUGAUUUCUGAUUUCAUUUGUGAUGCAGCCUGUGUUCGUCCACUGGCCAGGGGAGAACUGGCCUCCUGACUGAGCCUGGUUUCUCCCAAGAUUUUUUUCUCCAUUGUGUCACCUGAUGGAGUUUGGGUUCCUUGCCACUGUCAACUCUGGCUUGCUUUGGGGACACUUAAUAUUCAACAAUAUUAUUAAUUUGAUUGCACUGACACUGUUGGAUGACAUCACUUUUUCUGCAGAACUGCUUUAUAGAUGAAAUGAACUAAUUUAAUAAUUGAUGAUCUUCACAACAGAACAGAAUCACUGAACUGACUUCAGCUGAACAAUGAUACUAUUGUCUUUUAGAGCUGCUGUACAGCUGAAAUAAACUCUAUUUGCAUAAUUGAUUCAUUUUCCUGUUAUCACUGUAAAGCUGCUUUGAAAAUCUGUAUUGUAUAAAGCACUAUAUAAAUAAAGGUGACUUGACAUUUGAUUGGACAAAAA